UACACAUUGGCAGCUCGUUCGGCUGUGUGCUGCUGUACUUUAAGAACACUGCUCUGACAGCUGGAGGACGCCAUAUUGUUAAUCUUGUUUGGUCGCCUUGCGCUCUGGACUCCGUUCCCAGCAUUACCAGCGUUCUGUCGUUCCAAGACGAGCAGCCCGACUCGGAUCCCUCUGUGUCCUGCUCCUACGAUUCCCAUGUUCAAGCAAUAACCUGACGCUCCCUUGGUCUUACUAAGCCGGGCUGAGGAUUCCUAUCGGAUCGCCUUGGUUCCUCCAGCUGUCAUCAGACCACCCACCAGGCUACCGCUGCUCGCACCCCACCUUCAUGGAUACCACCAGCCCGCUCACCGGCCGCUCUAUCACCUGUUGCCAUCUCGGAGGUCUGUUGCUCCACUCCACUUCCCCUGGCAAGGUUGCAGUGCACGGCGAUCGCUCAAGCUGAUCCUCUCGUCUUUUCCUCAGCACUACUUGCUGAAGGUUAUCUGUGCAGCCAGCGCCU